GGUGUAGCUCAGUCGGUUAGAGCGCUGGUUUGUGGUACCAGAAGUCGAGGGUUCGAUUCCCUUCUC
rnacentral:tRNA from 1 species